rnacentral:rRNA from 1 species
GCAAGUCGAGCGGAAACGAGAAUAGCUUGCUAUUCGGCGUCGCGCGGCGGACGGGUGGGUAGUGCUUGGGAAUAUGCCUUUGAGUGGGGGACAACAGUUGGAAACGACUGCUAAUACCGCAUAACGUCUACGGACCAAAGGGGGGGAGUCUUCGGAACCUCUCGCUCAUUGAUUAGCCCAAGUGAGAUUAGCUAGUUGGUAAGGUAAUGGCUUACCAAGGCGACGAUCUCUAGCUGGUUUGAGAGGAUGAUC